rnacentral:rRNA from 1 species
AUUGAACGCUGGCGGCAUGCUUUACACAUGCAAGUUGAACGGUAACAGGGAGCUUGCUCCGCUGACGAGUGGCGAACGGGUGAGUAAUGCGUCGGAACGUGCCGAGUAGUGGGGGAUAACGCAUCGAAAGGUGUGCUAAUACCGCAUACGAACUGAGGUUGAAAGUGGGGGACCUUCGGGCCUCACGCUAUUCGAGCGGCCGACGUCUGAUUAGCUAGUUGGUGAGGUAGAGGCUCACCAAGGCGACGAUCAGUAGCGGGUCUGAGAGGAUGAUCCGCCACACUGGGACUGAGACACGGCCCAGACCCCUACGGGAGGCAGCAGUGGGGAAUUUUGGACAAUGGGCGCAAGCCUGAUCCAGCCAUGCCGCGUGUCUGAAGAAGGCCUUCGGGUUGUAAAGGACUUUUGUCCGGGAGCAAAUGCUGGUGGCUAACAUCCACCGGAGCUGAGAGUACCGGAAGAAUAAGCACCGGCUAACUACGUGCCAGCAGCCGCGGUAAGAC